CUUAUUGAAAGAAGUGAAGCCUGUGAUACAGAAAAUAGCUGGUAAUUAUGACGUUUUUGAUGAUGUUUUUAAGAAAAGAACUGAGAAUACUUGGAAUACUUUUUUUUCAUAAUAUGUUUUUGUAUAUUGUUUGAAAUAAUUAACAUGUGAUUACAUAAAGUUUAAAAAGGCCAUAAAGUCAUUUACACAAUUCUGUGUCAAUAUUGUCAUAAGACCUAGACCUGUAGAAGUAAAUAUUUCUAAGUUUUUCUUACUUUUUCAAUUAUGCUUUUUUUUCCCAAUUAUGUUUUAAAUCUUAUCUUGGCUUAGUAGAAGUCCUGUAUUUUCACAGAUUCAUUGAUUUCAUCAAUCCAUUUCAACAUAUAGGCUGGUAGAUGAAUGGGUCUCCCAGCUGAUGAGGACAGGGAUGUUUUAGGAGUGUAGAAGGAAAACAGGCAAAAGUUUAUUUUAAUAACACCUGAUAUUGAUUCUGCUUAAUUUGCCCUAUACGCAAAAGGUAAAAUGGAUUUAAUUAAAGGUAGUCUAUUGCACGUAUAAUGAUGAUUCAACCAUUAAUUAUACAACCAUAACUGUUAUUUAAGUAACAAAAUCAAAAAAUUUUUUUCAUUUGGUACUGGAAUUCAGUGCAGCUAGUUGCUCAAAUAAAAGCAAUAAAGAAAGUAUCAUGCAGAUUGAAUUCAUGUACCUGUUCUGCUAUGUAUUAACCAAUGCCUUUGGGCAAGUUAAAAAAAAAAAAAAGUCUCUCUAACUCUUUUUUUCCUACUUGCUGGAAUAUAAAAAUUUCUCUAAUGUUUAUUCUGCUAGCUGGAAUUUAAAAAAUUACUCUAAGGUUGCUUCUGAUAGUUGGAAUAGAAAUAAUUUGAUUGGAAGUGAGAUAGUCUAGAUUUGACUCUUAGUUCUUAUCCUUAUAGGCUGUUUAAGUUUGAGCAAGACUUUAGACUCAGAGCUUCAAUUUUCUCAAGAGUAAAAUAAGAAUACUGCUACCCACAUCACAGGGGUAUUUUUUAGUAUUAAAUGAGAUAAUCCAUGUGGAAAAUAUUAUUAUGUAAAAAUACUAUAAACUUCAGGUCAUAAAUGGCAGGCUGUUGGCCAAAUGUAGCCACAAAUAUGUUUGAAUUGGCUGUCAUAGUUUUGGCUCUUAGCAGCGCUGUAAAACAAUUUUAAUUAGUGGUCAACUUUCAAAGAUUUGUUAAUUUCACAUAAAAUAUGGACUUUUGAGUUUUCCUUAAAAAGUCAUAUUAGCUGGCAAUAUUGGGUUUGCAUUCUUCAUAGCAAAAGCAACAAAAUGCAAGUCUGAUUCUCACCUUGGAGGGGCUUUGCACUCCCAUCGGUUGCACUUCUCAUCAUUCAAUGAUCUUUUCCCUGACACUGAAGAAAGAGAGGCUCCGUUUUCCUUGUCUGGUUAGUUUCGUUCACUUGUGUCCUUUUUUUUUUUUGAGACGGAGUCUCUCUCUGUCGACAGGCUGGAGUGCAGUGGUACCAUCAUGGCUCACUGCAACCUCCACCUCCCAGGUUCAAGUGAUUCCCCUACCUCAGCUUCCAGAUUCUCCUGCCUCAGCCUCUGCAUUCUCCUGCCUCAGCCUCUGGAAUAGCUGGUACUACAGGCGCCCGCCACCACGCCCAGCUAAUUUUUGUAUUUUUAGUAGAGAUGGGGUUUCACCAUGUUGGCCAGGAUGGUCUUGAUCUCUUGACCUUGUGAUCCGCCUGUCCUGGCCUCCCAAAGUGCUGGGAUUACAGGCGUGAGCCACCACCCCUGGGCCACUUGUGUCUUAAUUCCUCUUGGUAGUGCAUUUUAGUUUGUGUCACCCACCUCUGUAAGUUGAAAUACUUUUACCAUUUCAGUAACUUGAAAACAAACUGCUCAUUUUUCUUCUUUAUCAGUUAUGAAACUAAAUAUAUAAAAUCUUAUCCCUAGUCACCCAGGAUUGACUGCUCCUUCUUCACAAGGGUCUCUGCAGGUCCCAGUAUACCAAACACAUAGUAUUAAUCAAUAUUCAUGGAGUGAAUGAAAAAAAUGAAUGAAUGAAAGUGAUAUAUUUGCUACCUUACAGAUAACAUGUGAGUAGUUCUUUGUUUUAAUUUUAACAUUUCUUAAGCUUUUGCUAUCUAGAUACAGUUACUGUAUCUGAAGUAGAGAAAAAUGUUGUUUUUCCGGCUGAGCACCAUGGCUUAUGCCUGUAAUCCCAGCACUUUGGGAGGUCAAGGUGGGUGGAUCACCUGAGGUCAGGAGUUUGAGACCAGCCUGACCAACAAGGUGAAACACUGUCUGUACUAAGAAUACAAAAAUUAGCCAGGUGUGGUGGCAUGCACCUGUAGUACCAGCUACUCAGGAGGCUGAGGCAGGAGAAUUGCUUGAACCUGGGAGGCAAAGGUUGCAGUGAGCCAAGAUCAUACCACUGCAUUGCAGCCUAGGUGACAGAGCAAGACUCCUUUAAAAAAAAAAAAAAAAAGAGAAAGAGAGAAAGAACGGAAGGAAGGAAGGAAGAGAAAAGUGUUGUAUUAUUUUAUUUUUACAAAAUUUUAUUACAGGUUGUCCCCAGAUAAGACAUGGCCUCAAUUAUCAGCUAAAAUGUACUUGCAAAAAUGGUGGCCUUUGCAAUUCUGCAGAUAGAAGGUCUAUCUGUGGCCUUGGGUGGACAGGAAAUUAUUGUGAAAAAAGCAAGUUGAUUCACUGCCUUUUUUCCCUCAAUAAAGAUCUACUUUAGGCCGGACGCAGUGGCUCACACCUGUAAUCCCAGCACUUUGGGAGAUUGAGGUGGGCAGAUCAUGAGGUCAAGAGAUCGAGACCAACCUGGCCAAUAUGGUGAAACCUCGUCUCUACUAAAAAUACAAAAAUUAGCUGGACAUGGUGGCGGGCGCCUGUAGUCCCAGCUAUUCUGGAGGCUGAGGCAGGAGAAUCACUUGAACGCUGGAGGCGGAGGUUGCCGUGAGCUAAGAUUGCGCCCCUACACUCCAGCCUGGCAACAGAGCAAGACUCCGUCUCAAAAAAAAAAAAAAAAAAAGGAUCUACUUUUGAGAGUACUGUCAUUGGUUGAUAAACUACAGCAGAAACUUGUGAAGAAGCUGUUUUCCAUAUUCACCUGGUAUGUUUGGAGAUGAUUGCCAUCAACUUUGUGACUGUGAAGGAGAAACCUUCUGCCACCCAAAAACUGAAAAAUGCCUCUGCCCCCCUGGGAGAACUGGAGCCAGAUGUGAUGCUGGUAGGACCCAAAGCACCUCAGGACUCCCCCCUGACCCAUGGUUAUACAGAGAUCUGUAGACAUUUUCCUGCUAGAAGUGGUACUCUAUUAAAGAGCAUUGCCCAGAAUUGCUUGAUACUUUCCCCUUAGUAUGAUGAGCAGGGUUUGUAGCUGUUACAUCACAGGCAGCUCAAACAACGCUACAGCUGUUGGAGGACACGUGGUAAGUACUUAAAGGGACACAGUUAAAUGCCCCAUCACAAAGGUGAUUCAUAGAAAUCACUGAGAAUUAAGGCAAUUAAGGUGUGGUCCAGAUAGUAUUCUUGAGACCCAAGCUUCCAGCUACUCUUUGGGAAUUGAAAUGUGUAUUUCGUUUUUCUUUUCACUCAGAGAAAUAAUGACCUAAAAUAUGAAGUUCUAAUUCUUCAGGGACUGUCUUAAGAAGAAGAGAGAGUAGAUUGAGUAAUUUUGAACUAAUCACUUGCUACUAGACUUAAUGGAUGCUUAUCAGAUGAAAAGUUUUAUAUAAUUCACAAUAGACCUGAAGGACUGACCCUGCCACAGAUAUUACCCAAAAUAGAGGGUUUAAUCUCAGAAUUUACUUUUCUCAUCUGCAAAAGAGAAGGGUUGAAGCUUCAUUGCUAAAAGAAGGGUUAUUUCUAAAUAAAGUCAUGGCCUACACAGAUGUCCUACAAGGUAUUUUAUUUUCAUUUUUAUUUUCAAUUAAACACGGUUCAUCUGUGAUAUUAAAUGUGAACAGCUGUGUCUAUGCAGGCACCAUAAAGAUAAAAGACCUCAUUUUAACUUGAACUCUGGUAAAAGUGCUAUUAAACAGCCAUAAUAUUAAUUCAUAGAAGAAUAUAACAACCUUUUAUUGGAUUAUUCUCCCACCCCAUUGGUAAAUUAACAUUUGCAGACAUUCAAACAGAUGUCUUAAAUAUACAUCAUUAUUAACAUGAAAAUGUGGUAUUUUUAUAAAUUAAAAUCAGAUUCUGGAGUGCUCAGGAGAGAUCCUGACUCACAACUCUUUUUCUAAUAAGAACACUCAAUCUUGCCACCAAACUAAGUAAUCCUCCCACACAUUGGGCAGGGGUAUCUGGGUUGAACUUCAUUUGAAAUGACAUAGGAUUUUUAAAAAUUUUUCACAAAGUUUCAUGUUUUAAAGAUUCAGAGCAGCAUUUGCACUGCCUCCAAAGCUUCUUCCUAAAGGAAACUGUUGCUCCGUCAUUUAGGAAGGGAUUGAAUUACUGUUUGCUAAUGUUGAACCCUUGUAAAAAUAAUUAAUUGCAAAAUUGGUUUAUGUUUCUAUUUGCCUUAUAUUUAUAAUCUAAUUAGUUAAUUAAGGCAAGAGAGCUAGGCCACAUCUUAACCUAUGUUCAUAAUGCAAAAGAAUAAAAAAAUGUACAUCCAACUGCUCAUCUCUAACCCAGCAUAAAGGAUAGUGAGUCAAUAAAGAAGUUUUUAACAAAAAUUUGCCCAAAGUUUCAGAAUUUGCUCCAGGGCCUGUAUCUUCAUAUUUACUGACAUUUCCCAAAUUCUCACUUUCCUGCUUUUUUACUUUUUUAUUAGGGCUUUCUUCUGCAUAUACUGCAUCCACUCAUAUAGUAGUGUAAAAUGGGGAAAGAGCACUAGGUAAGAAUUCUAAAACCCAGCUCUGCUGUUUAUCAGAGAUGUAUUAUAGUAAUUGAGAAGAUCUUUUAAGCCAUACCAAACCAAGGUUUAUUUCUCUGUGGAAUGCGAGAGCUUAACUCACUGCCUUGCCCACCUCACAGGUGUUAGAACCAACAGAGAUAAUGUAUUAGAGACCCACGUUGUAAACUCCACAAGGGUAGGUGACUGUUAUGAUUGCACAGUUGAGUUUCGCUGAUCCUUAAACAUUGAUAAACUGAGUUUCUUCCCAGUCCUGCCUGACCGAGUAGGAAAUAUGAAUCUAUUUUCUGUUUCCGUGAGCUGGGCUGGGCUUUCUCCUUAUCCUCAUAAUUCUUCAGAAACAGAACUUGUUAAUUCCCUACUGGAAAUCAGGCUAAGAGCAAACACCCAGGCCGGGCCUUUUUGGUCAACAUUUGGUUAAGCUAACACUUUCUAUAAUCUUCCAUCAUUUCUCUUUCUGUUGCAAGCACAAUGUAAUUCAAUUUAAAUAUAGAGUCCUGUAGGACAUAGAUCAGGGGAUCUAUGGACCUUCUGACAUAUUUUAAGAAAUGAAACAGUUGAAAUUAAAGUCAUUUCAUUUUCAAUAACAUAAGCACAAAUAAUUGUGUUUUCAUCCUAAAGGUUAGUCUCCUGUAUUGGGCGUUCAGCAUGGGUGUUGCCUUUUUCUGACCUCAAGACAACUAUCCAACUUUCCCUGUGUCUUCACAAUGCAACCACUAAAGCUCUACUGAAUUCUCUAAUUCUGAGAAGGCACCUUAAAAAUGAGGUAUUUAAAUUUGGACGGAAGAACUGCUUUUCAGUUCAGGUUGGACUACACUGAAAUAUUCACACCUAUUCACUGAAGACUUCAGUGGCCAUGAAAUAGCUGGAUCCUCUUUAGAAAUAUCUAGAAUUUCAUCUAUUUAUUCUCAGUAUCCUUCUUCAUAACAAACUCUGCUCCGGAUUGCUAAUGUAUUGUUUUUCAAACAUGACUUUGGUGUGGGAGACUAUAAAGACUUUAGCCACCUAAUGACGUGCACUUUCAUAGUGAAACAUCAAAAUGUUUAGUGUGUUUUCUCCGUCACUGGCCAGCAGACAGGAAAAAACUGGGUAGCAGUGACCAAGGCCAGGGCUUAGCCUACUCUGGGGGACACAAAUUUCCUAUAAAUCAGGACCUACUUGUAAUCAGUCUUUUAAUUCACAGUGGUAAUCUUGAUUCAAAUUGUUCAUCAUUUAGGGCAACUAUAUAGCCAUUUAUGAACCUAAGAUGAGUACUGUGAUAAGCCAAGAAAGAUACAGCAAUAAAUACUAUUUUAUUUUUGCUCUCAAGUAGUUUAUAAGCACUUAAAUUUUUCAGACCGCUGGUUAGUUCACAUCAGCAAACAAAACUUUCUUGAUUGGAAAUGUUGUUUCUCGUGUUACCCAUGCUUUAUUGGGAUAAAAAUAGAGAAUAUUACAAUUAUAUGACUGAAUAUUUGAUUUAUACAAGAUGUAUGAGUGGCUUUUAAAUCAAAACGGAUUUAGGAUAGAAUUGACUGAAGGAUUUAUAAAAAUACUUUUAUCAAUUCAGUACAGUUUCUCAUCUUAAUGAUUAUCUUUCUAAAUCUCAGCACUUUUAACAGAGCAGAGAUAUAGCUACCUAUAAUGACCAGCCAUGUGAAACUUAAUGUUAUUAAAUGAUAUAAGGGAGUUAAUGAGAUCACUUUCCAAAAAAAGCUGUACUUUUUAUUUUAUUUUUUAUUUAUUUUAUUUAUUUAUUUAUUUAUUUUUUGAGACGGAAGCUCACUCUGUUGCCCAGGCUGGAGUGCAGUGGCGGGAUCUCGGGAUCUCGGCUCACUGCGAGCUCCGCCUCCCGGGUUAACGCCAUUCUCCUGCCUCAGCCUCCCAAGUAGCUGGACUACAGGCACGUGCCAACAUGCUCGCCUAAUUUUUUGUAUUUUUAGUAGAGACGGGGUUUCACCUUGUUAGCCAGGAUGGUCUCAAUCUCCUGACCUCGUGAUCCACCCGCCUCGGCCUCCCAAAGUGCUGGGAUUACAGGUGUGAGCCACCGCGCCCAGCGUAUACUUUUUAUUUUUUUAGGGAUAGAGUCUCCCUUUGUUGCCCAGACUUGGGUGCAGUGGCAUGAUCCUAGCUCACUGCAACCUCAGACUCUUGGGCACAAGGAAUCCUCCCACCUCAGCCCCCUCAAGUAGCUGGAACUACAGACAUGCACUACCAUGCCCAUCUGAUUUUAAAAAAUUUGUAGAAACGAAGGUCUCACUAUGUCACCCAGGCUGACCUUGAACUCUGGGCCUCAAAUUAUCCUCCUGCCUCAACCUUCCAAAGCACUGAGAUUACACAUGUGAGCCACCACUCCUGGCUUCUCCAAGAGAUUAUUAAUUUAGUUUAGUCUUAAAUGAGAUAAAAUAAAUUACCUUUUUUCUCCAGUAUUUGGAAUUAAAGAUUUACAUUUCAGUGCAUUUUAACCAUUUAAAUCAGUCAUUAAUAAUAUGUUAUUUCAAAUCAGCUGAAAACUAUUCUUUAUUCUGAACGUUUGCCCAUUUUCUUUACCUGCUAUUGUUUUAGUUUCUCUCAACUAUCACCAUCUAAACUUCAAAGAGAAUAAAGUAAAUAAAAGCAGCAUUCUCUCUUGGGCUGCCAGCCCCCUCUGGAUUUUCUUUAUUUCAUGACUGUUAAAAAAUUGUGACUACAAACAGGGAAAAAAGAAAGAAAUCAGGCUUUUCUUCCUCAGUAGAGACCGUAUUUCUAUUCAGGCAGAUGAGAAAAAUCUAGAUUUGAUAGGAAUAAAAAUAAGGGAUUUAUUUUGGUUAUUCUUUUUGAUUUUAUAUUACUUAACUUUUUAUAAGUGAGAAACCAUAUGUAAAAUGUUAAACAAGUUUCUUGGCAAAUGGAAGAUGUUUCAUAUAUUAUCUCCUUUCAUCCCCUUUCCACCCAACACUAAAACAAAUUGUGGGACUGGGAAAGCAAAGUCAGAGCAUGAACCUGUAUUUGUGCCAUCCCAGGACCCUUUAGACAAAUUGAAUUUUCAUUCUUAUACCAGUCAGCAUGAACAAGUGCAAUUUACUGUAGCCCCUUUUCUUUAUAAAAAUUUUUAUAAGUUGUCUUUCAUAUUAAAAAAUAAAAAUGAGAAAAUGUUUAAAAUCUAGAAUAUUUCCAUUGUACUUUUGGUUAUCUUGAAAAAUCUUGAUAAGCAAUGCAGAGUGAUCUCUCCUAAAAAUACCUCAGUUCUGCUUAAGAACACUAGCAGAUAUCCUGAAAAUUAUUAUAUGCAAUAUUUCAUGCAUAAACCAACAUAUAAUAAACAUUAAUCUUAAAUAAUUCUACAGCUGGAAAAUUAUGAAAUAUAGUUUCCUUGAAAUUUUAUAUAAUAUAAUUUAAAAUUUUAUUUUUUAUAACUGCCACAUUAAAACUGCUUCAAAUUAAGAAAACAGUGUACAAAGACCUCACCUUUUUUAAACAAAUAAAUAAAGGUUACUGUUCACUUUGGCAGUACAUAAGCAUUUACCUGAGGUUUUUACAUGUAAACCACUAUUCAGGUACAGUGAAGUAUGAUUUGGCUACCGAGAAAUAAUUUGCACAAAAUGUUAAAGAAUCCAACUAUUAAGUGAAGUAUAAUCUAAUAGGCAUGUCCUCUUUAAGCUAAAGUUUAAUGUAAAAUUGGAAUCCUUGUCAUUAGAUACAAAUAUUUUAUAUAUUACUCCUCUACUUUUUCUCCCUGUUUAAUCUGUCCUUUAAAUGUAAAAAUGCUGAUCUCCAAAGGAAAUGUAUCCACUCAUAAUAUUUAACCGACCUAGAAAGGCGCAUGUGCUAUGAUGUUUUAGCCUCUUUCAUUUGAAAUACAAGAUCAGAGUGGGGAUUAUUAUGCUUUUCUGCAAUAAUAUAGCUCAAGUUUAAAGAAAAGUGAGCAGAUGUGUGGAAGUAUGCUGGCUAAUUUGGAGUCUCAAUUCAACAUGCCUGGGAUAAACUAUUUCACUAUGACACCUAACUUUCCCCUACUCUUUCUAACUUCUACAUUCGUUUAUUGAGUUUUCCAGAUGAGACAGCUACUUGACACAGGUUAAAUUAUUUUCAGAGAACUUGGAAAUCAUUCCAAGAGUUAGUGGCAAGAAUGGCAUUUCCUUUGUUAGAAAUAGCAAAGAGGGUUUGGCCUCUCCUGGGCCUCUUUCACCUUGGUUUCUCUAGGACCUGGUAAUACAGAUGUAGCAAGAAUUUAAAAGAGCAUUUGAUGAAGUGAACAAAUAAUAGCAACUGUCUACACUCUAGGAGUUAUGUAUGCAAUUCAGUUGAAAUAACUUUUCUUGGGUCUGUAAUAGAAAAAAAACCUAAGUAGCUGAACUUUUAAAAUAGAUUUAAAAGACAUUCCAAAGCUUUGUCUCUUUUAGCUAAUUAUGUGAAGACUAUUUUCUA